rnacentral:rRNA from 2 species
GUGGGGAAUAUUGGACAAUGGGGGAAACCCUGAUCCAGCGACGCCGCGUGAGUGAAGAAGUAUUUCGGUACGUAAAGCUCUAUCAGCAGGAAAGAAAAUGACGGUACCUGACUAAGAAGCCCCGGCUAACUACGUGCCAGCAGCCGCGGUAAUACGUAGGGGGCAAGCGUUAUCCGGAUUUACUGGGUGUAAAGGGAGCGUAGACGGCAGCGCAAGUCUGGAGUGAAAUGCCGGGGCCCAACCCCGGAACUGCUCUGGAAACUGUGAAGCUGGAGUGCAGGAGAGGUAAGCGGAAUUCCUGGUGUAGCGGUGAAAUGCGUAGAUAUCAGGAGGAACACCGGCGGCGAAGGCGGCUUACUGGACUGUAACUGACGUUGAGGCUCGAAGGCGUGGGGAGCAAACAGG